rnacentral:rRNA from 1 species
AUUGAACGCUGGCGGCAGGCCUAACACAUGCAAGUCGAACGGUAACAGGAAGAAGCUUGCUUCUUUGCUGACGAGUGGUGGACGGGUGAGUAAUGUCUGGGAAACUGCCUGAUGGAGGGGGAUAACUACUGGAAACGGUAGCUAAUACCGCAUAACGUCGCAAGACCAAAGAGGGGGACCUUCGGGCCUCUUGCCAUCGGCUGUGCCCAGAUGGGAUUAGCUAGUAGGUGGGGUAACGGCUCACCUAGGCGACGAUCCCUAGCUGGUCUGAGAGGAUGACCAGCCACACUGGAACUGAGACACGGUCCAGACUCCUACGGGAGGCAGCAGUGGGGAAUAUUGCACAAUGGGCGCAAGCCUGAUGCAGCCAUGCCGCGUGUAUGAAGAAGGCCUUCGGGUUGUAAAGUACUUUCAGCGGGGAGGAAGGGAGUAAAGUUAAUACCUUUGCUCAUUGACGUUACCCGCAGAAGAAGCACCGGCUAACUCCGUG